GACCUGUUGGGGACUAAUAAACUCCCUGUCUCAACUGGGAGGCAACUGGACACCUUUCCAAACUCUUCCUCCCCCUCCACUCGUCCCUCCGUUUGUGACCUCAGAAAUACCUCCUGCUCUUUGUCAAAACAGAUUCUGGCUAGGUCCAUGUGUGUGGAUCAUUGACACAACUUCUUUUCUUUAUGAAAAUACCAAACAAAAAACUCACUGGUGGUUGGUUUCCAGGAACGUGUUGCUCUGGGAUGGAAGGCCUAUUAUUAUUGUGUGUUGCUACAUCAAAGACUUAACAUUUUCCCCUUUGCCAGGCUGAGCGAUCAUCUUCUCAUUAGAAAAUGCUGUCAGACCCACAGUGGCUCAGCCCCAGCAGGCUGUGACUGAGAGCUGUGAAGGGACCUCCUGGGAUGCCAAGACAAGCCCAAGCCUCCAAGGGACUGAACUGGCUUUAAAGAUCUGGCAUUUGGAAAAUAAGAAUAACGGGUGCGGAGUCUUGUUUCGUUCUGUGCCCAGCACUGCUGCAAGUGAUCUACGUGCAUUAACUCACUCAAAGCUUCACAUCCGCAUCGCGGCUAUAAGUAAUCGACAUGCGGUUGGAUCAUUAUAAGAUCUCAGCAUAGGAGCCUAAAGAGUGGACUUCUCAAAAUGAAGAGGUCACAGUCACAAAACCACAUCGGAGACUAAAGCGUCCUCUAUUUCUGCAGCUACAUAGUGUUUUCAGUUUCCCUGGCUCUUUAUCAGGAAUGUGUGGGGAGCUUGACUCCAAAUCUACAACUCUGCUUCAUCCUCCCCAGUUUCUAGCAG